AAUGAUUAAUUCAUUUCUACUUCGACUGUACGUGUAUGAAAGUAAUCAACCAAUCAUGUUCAAGUGCUCUCAAUGCGAUAACAAGUUUACUCGCAAAGAUGCUUUAACACGUCAUGUAAAAAAACAUAGUGAUAAAUUAUCUAAACUCACUUGCACCGGAUGUAAAACGUCAUUUACGAGAUUUGAUAACUAUAAGCGUCAUAUUACAAAUUCAUCAUUGUGUUCAAUGGAUUCGGAUGAUAUGACUCCUAAAAAAGCCCGCCUGACAACUAGAACACCUUUACAAGAAGUUACUACUAACGCUCCAUCAUGUUCAUUUCAUCAAUUUUGUGAAAUAUGCAAUAAUCACUACAGAGGAUCCAGAUUAAACCAUUUACGUUCUUUAAAACAUAAAAGUGUCAUCUCCGCCAAAAUUAAUGAUGAUGAUGAUUUCGUUGAAGAAUAUCAAGUUGCCUUCAAAUCAAGAAUUACCUCAUACCGAUUGAAAAAUUCACAACUAGAUGACUUGGAAGUGUGCAAUUUUUUUGAAAGAAAUCAAGAUAAACUUAUCACUUUAAUAACUAGAAAACUGAGAGAAUUUAACCAACUUAAAAUUAAUUUCGAACUUUUUGCUAAAUAUAUUUUACCUUCUAAAGACAUUAUCGAAAUCAAAUCAUUCAACACUAAAAAUAUCAUCAUUUCAAUAUCGACAAAUAUUAAGGUAGAACUGGAAGAAAUAUGUGGCGUCAUAAAAAACAAAAUGAGUGAAUUCUUGGAAAAAGAUAGUGGUUGGAUUUUAAUGGAAAUUUUGUUUUUGGAACUUAAUAUCAACAAAUUCAAUCCACUACGUGCAUCAACAUAUAUACCAUUACCGAAGGACAUAGUGAAGCGGAGAGCGGUUAUCAAUAUUCAUAAUGAUGAUAAUGAAUGUUUCAAAUGGUCUGUUUUGGCACACCUUCAUUCAACUGAAGUAAAUGUUAAUCGACAUCGAGUUGAUGCUUAUCGUGAGUUUGAAGAGGAAUUAGAUUUUACAGAUAUUUCAUUUCCGGUUAAAUUAACUGAUAUUUUUAAAUUUGAAGCACUUAAUAAUAUUAGUGUAAAUGUCUAUGGAACAGAGCAGCGUUUUGAUCAUGAAAAAGGUAAAUGGGUAUCAGAUAUUAUAGGUCCCUUUUAUUUAACUUCUAAGGAACGAGACAUUCAUGUAAAUUUAUUACUUAUCGUAGACGAUGAAAGAAUGAUCAAACAUUACUGUCUGAUAAGCAACAUUUCUCGAUUAAUAAGUUCACAACUUUCCAAACAUAAUCAUGCUAAAUUUAUAUGUAACGGUUGUCUAUUAUUUUUUUCGAGUGAACAAAAAUUAGUUAAACAUCGUAAGUAUGCUUGUAAUGAAGUUGUCACUACAUUACCAACUUCUGAUCUGAUUAUAAAUAAAUUUGGUAAAGAAGUGCCUGGUAAUGAAUUAACAUUUCAAAAUUUUGAUAAAUCUCUUAAAGUUCCUUUUGUAUUUUAUUUCGAUUUUGAAUCUAUUUUAAAACCUUUACGCAAUGAUAAUUCAGCCGAUAAUAUCCGUACAAUUGUUACACAUUUACAUGAACCAUAUAGUUUCGGAUAUUACAUAAAAUGUGCAUAUAAUGAUAAUUUAUCAAUAUAUCGGACUUAUCGAGGAAAAGAUGCUCCUGAAAUUUUUGUGAAAUGGUUGCAAGAUGAUGUAAAUAGACUUUAUCACGAUCACCUCAAACAUAUCGUACCACUUGAAAUGACUCCGUUAGAUGAAUUGGUUUUUCAAAUAUCUACCCAUUGUCAUUUAUGUAAAGAACCUUUCAAAACAGAUUACGGAAGUCUAAAUUGUGAUAGAGUUCGUAAUCAUUGUCACUUAACAGGUGAAUUUUUAGGACCUGCCCAUUCUAUUUGUAAUUUAAAUUAUAAGAUUCCAAAAUAUAUCCCUGUUUUUUGUCAUAAUUUAACUAAUUAUGAUAGUCAUUUAUUUAUUAAAGCUUUAGCAACAGAAAAGACCAUCAUUAAUUGCAUUGCUCAAACUAAAGAAAAGUAUAUUACAUUUUCAAAAAAAAUUUUAGUUGAUAAGGUCAUGAACACGACUACAAAUACAGUUGACAAUAUUUUUAUAACGCUUAGAUUCGUAGAUUCGUUCCGUUUCCUUUCUUUUUCAUUAGAUAAAUUAUCUCAGACUUUAACUUCUGAUGAAUGUCUAACCAUUCGGAAACACUUUCCGGACGAUAACCAAUUUAAUUUGAUAAGACAAAAAGGUGUUUUUCCAUAUUCAUAUUUGGAUUGUUUUAAUAAGUUAGAUGAUACCAAUUUACCAUUGAUUCAACAAUUUUAUGAUAAUCUUAAUAAAACUGAUAUCAGUGAACAUGAUUAUGAGCGAGCACAGGAAGUCUGGAAUCUAUUUGAUUGCAAAACGUUAGGUGAUUAUUCCAACAUUUAUUUAAAGUCUGAUGUUUUGUUACUUACAGACAUUUUUGAAAAUUUCAGAAAGGUUUGUCUCAAAAUUUAUGAACUAGAUCCAGCUCAUUACUUAACAGCACCUUCAUUAGGCUGGGAUGCUAUGUUAAAAAUGACUGGAAUUAAAUUCGAAUUGUUAACUGAUAUAGACAUGGUACAUUUCUUUCGAAAAUCUAUUAGAGGAGGACUUUGUCAAUGUUCAAAACGUAAAGCAGUAGCAAAUAAUAAGUUUUUAUCAAAUCAUGAUCCUUCUAAACCAACUUCUUUUAUAAUGUACCUUGAUGCAACCAACUUGUAUGGAGCAGCAAUGUCUGAAUAUUUACCUUAUAGCGGUUUUCGAUGGGAAGAUCCUAAUGAAUUCAAUGAUAACCUAAUUCUCAAUUUGACAGAUAACGCUGAUGUAGGUUAUAUAUUCGAAGUUGAUUUAGAAUAUCCUUCUGAAUUACAUAAUCUUCACAACGAUUUACCAUUUUGUCCUGAAAAAUUUAUUCCUCCCUCUAGUAAAACUGAGAAACUUUGCGCAACCUUAAACAAUAAAGUACACUAUGUUUUACAUUAUCGAAAUUUAAGACAAGCUAUACAAGGUGGUUUAAAAUUAAUUAAUAUUCACCGUGUUUUAAGUUUUAAUCAAUCACCAUGGUUGAAAACAUAUAUUGAUUUAAAUACAGAAAUGCGUAACAAAUCAAAAAACGCGUUAGAAAAAGAUGUAUUUAAAUUAAUGAAUAAUUCAGUUUUUGGUAAAACCAUGGAAUCAAUUGAUAAAAGAGUAAACGUGAAAUUGGUAACAUCAUGGAAUAAUAUAGGUAGAAAACCAGGUGCUGAAAGUUUAAUUGCACGACCAAAUUUUAAAAAUUCAUCUAUCUUUACACCAAAUUUUGUAGCUAUUCAAUUAGAGAACGAAAAAGUUUUCUACAAUAAACCUCUGUAUGUAGGUUUUACUAUUCUAGAUAUCAGUAAAACUAUUAUGUAUGAUUUUUAUUAUAAUUUCAUAAAACUUAAAUACGGUAACAAUGCAACGCUUUUGUAUACCGAUACUGAUAGUUUAGUAAUUGAAAUUUUUUGUGAAAAUAUUUAUGAUGAUAUUAAAUCUAAUAUAGAGCGUUUUGAUACUUCAAAUUAUAAAGCAGAAAAUAUUCAUGGAAUACCUGUAUCGUCUUCUGUCAUCGGGAAGAUGAAAGAUGAAUAUAAAGGACGUGUAAUAUCAGAAUUUUUAGGAACAGGUGCUAAAGCAUAUUGUGUGGAUGUUGAAGGUGAAUUAUCUAAAAAAGCUAAGGGUAUUAAACACAAUGUAAUUACAAGUGAAUUACAUAAAAUUGACUACCAAAACGCAGUUACUGUUCCAAACACUGAAAUUAUUAAAGAAAUGAAUAUCUUUCGUUCGAAGCUUCAUAACAUUUACACAGAAUUAAAGAAAAAAAUUGCUUUAUCUUUCAAAGAUGAUAAACGUUACAUCUUAAACAAUUCUGAAGGUAGAACAUUAUCUUGGGGUCAUAAAAAUAUUCCUCCUCAAACUCAGGAAUAAUAUUUAAUUUGUAUUGUAGUUAUUGUAUUAUAAUGUUUAUGUAUUAUAAUAUGUAUGUAUGUAUGUAUGCAUGUACUUAUAUUUAGAUGUAAUAAACAAUUAAAGUAAUUUAUUGUUUUUAUUAUUAUCCAUUAACCAAAUAGCUUAUGUAAAU